GUCUACGGCCAUACCACGUUGAAAGCACCAGUUCUCGUCCGAUCACUGAAGUUAAGCAACGUCGGGCUCGGUUAGUACUUGGAUGGGUGACCGCCUGGGAACACCAAGUGCUGUAGACU
rnacentral:rRNA from 1 species